rnacentral:lncRNA from 1 species
AAUGCAAGCUAUUUCCUUGACGAAAUACAGUACCAAAAAAGAUUAGAUGAAAAAAAUAAAAGAUACAUAUGAGCAAAUUCAUUUGAACUUGAAGAAGAAAAAUGAAAUGCUUGAAGCUAACUUAAAUAUGAACAUGCAACAUUUACAAGAAAUAAAUCAGAUAAUAAUGAAAAAAGAAAAAAAAACAUAUGAUAUAAAAUUACUACAACAAAAAAAUGAUAAUAACUUAAAAAUGAUAAAUUUUUAUAAACUCGAAAUAAAUAAAUUAAGAGAAGCUCUAUUAUCAGUGAAAACUUAUUAUUACAACUAUAGAAUUAAAUCAAAAAAAAACAUUAACGAAUUAAUGAUUCAAUAUGAGAGAAUAAAAUUUCAAUUUAUUGAAUUACAAAAGAGACAAAAAAGUUAUGAACAAAAUUUUCAAAAAAAAUACACAAAUGCUUGGAACUUGCAAAAAAACGAGGCCAACAAGCACAUUGAAAAAAUUAAUAAAUGCAAAUAAAAUAAUUCACGAACAAAUCCUUUUAAAAGAAUUUCAUCAAACUAAUUAUAAACAAUUGAUAGAAGAUAACAGCAGUUUAAUUUCAACAACCGUUAAAGAUCAUGAAAUCCCUCAAACAGAGUUAAAUACAAAACGUGUUAAUAUACAACAUAUUGAAAAUGUUAAGAAGCUACUUCUGCAAGAAUGCAAUUUCCUAGUCGAAGACGAUAUCGAUGACGAACAACAAAAAAUAAAAAAACUAUUAAAAUACAUAGGUGUGUAUACACAAGAAGAUUUAGAACUACUAACACAAUUGUUUUAUUUAGAUUAUGAGCACGAAAAUGACAGUAACAAUAAUAACAACAAAGAGAGUGACCAUAAUGCGAUAAAAUAUAAUUCAGAAUAUACAUUAGAUAUAAUUUAUAAGUAUUAUCAAGAAAAAGAAAAAGAAAAUGCUUGUAAAAUAACAAAGAAUAAACAACAAUAUAAAAAUAGGUUAAAUAUUUCUUUAAAGUUAAUAAUUGAGAGAAGAAAAAAAGAAAAAGAGUUCUGGGAAAACUUAACGCAUAUUACAUCUAAUGAUAUGAUAGAAAUGUGGAAGACAUUCUCAGUUUUUGUGGAAAAGUAUUACUAUAUAUUAAAAGAUCGAGCAACUAUUGUCCAAAAUAUUUUUAAUGAAGAAAAAUUAAUCAUUGAAAAUAAAAACAAAAUUGAAAACAUGCGUGAAGCUUUAUCCAAGCUAUAAACAAGUAAAGAUUCAUAUAUUUUGUUUUUAAAGAUUUAAACCUUGUUUAGUGUAAUAAAAUAAAAAUGCAGAAGUCUGUAUUGAGAAAG